UUAUUUUCUCAUGAAGGUUUCUUAGGCAUGCUUCUCCAGCCAGUAACUCUGCCAGUGGAUCAUGGAUCAUGUGCUUCCAAAGCGCUCUUCCUGCUGCCAUUUGACAUGCCGAGCGUUGGAGGAACAAGGUGUGCGCAAGGAAAAAGAGCAGGAUUUUAUGGAAUGGGAUAAGGAAAGAGAGCCACAACAACCAAUGCUUUAAAAAAAAAAGCUCAAUUUAAUGAUAAGGGAGAGUGAGUAUAUAAGUUCCACGAGUGCGUUAAAUCUCGUAUUUUUGCUCUCUCUCUCUCUCUCUCUCUCUCUCUCUCUCUAUUGUGGAUUCUAUUGUGCUGUCUUUCAUCAGAAGAGAAGAGGAAGGGGGCUCCACCGAAAAAGACGCGCGAUCACAUUUGAGUGGCUCAUAGCUCGGAUAUUGAAAUUGCCAUACUACUUCAGUAAUACCAGGAGAGAAUGAUAUAUUGUUUUUAGCUCAAGGGCAUGGGGCCAAAUCAGCAGUUUCCGUAGGAUUUGUGAGUCCAUCUUCACUCACAAAAGUGUAAGUCCCCCUUCAUCUGCUAUAGAAAUGCCCUCCUUUUAAGGCUGGAGUUUCAACAACUCAACAGAUACCCUUAAAAAUUUGGAAGUUCUCAGCUGUGAGCAAGGUGUUUCUGACCGAAUCUCGGGCUAUGGCAAUCAUCCUAUUCAAUCGCCAAGCACUUCAGUGCCUGUGUUCAGCUUAAAAGAAUGCAGAGGGGAAGAGGAUGCGAGGGCAUCCGUUUGCUAAGUUGCACCCUCUUAGCCAUGACGAAUAUUUAGGCGUUUAUUCUCUCUCACAUAUAAAGUUACUCUUUCUGUUUAGGCGUUUAUUCUCUCUCACAUAUAAAGUUACUCUUUCUGCUUAGUUCAAACCAUAAUUAACAUACACUCUUAUACA